AUGAUGGAUGAUGGAGAAGCCUCCCAUUGGAAGAAGCAAGGUGCACGGACUGGAGUGAUAAUGAGGAGCCUAGCACAAGCCCAGCGUGCACAGUGGUGGAGGAGAAAGAGCACACAUGCAUGUAUGCACAUCAGCAACAAAGUGCAGAAUGCCAAGGCUAGUGUCCAUCACCACACCUGCCUGAGGACAAAGGAUUGCGUUCAUGCAGCGUUGGAGAUACUUGUGAUUCCUGAUGUGUCAUCACAUUCAAUGUAAAUCUCCGGAUUUAUGUAGUGAAGACAUUUGCAACCUUUUACACCAUUGUUCUCAAGGAAACAGUUAAACCAGGAAUGGUGGACCAGCCCCGAAAUCCCAGCACACGAAAGAAGGUAAAAGAUCAUGAGUGUGAGAACUACAGAGACCUUGUCUCAAAAUUAAAACAUGUAAUUAAGUAACUAACAAUAAAAGAAUGACAGGGCUGUCA
rnacentral:lncRNA from 1 species